rnacentral:lncRNA from 8 species
CUGUCGUUUGUAAUGAAAUGAACUGUGCUUUUCAGACCUUGAUCAAGGACAAAGAGACUUAAAAUAUUUUCUCUUGAGGUUAAAUUAAUGUUGCUUUUCAACGAGUGUUAACUGGACUAUUGGACCGACCUGUGAUAAUUAUUUUCUGUAGGGGGCAAAUGACAGACUUUUAAUUACUGCCAUAAUGUCUUAACACCUUCAGUGACAGUAAAGAGGGCUGGAACAGGGAAAAGUCCGUUUUCAUAGGCUUAUACCAGUUAUUUUGAGGAAGUAACUAAUAAUGCUCUUUAUAAUAUAGGGGAAGACGUCUGCCACUACAGAAUAGUUUCCAACAAAGUUGAGGCCGAGACAUAGGACACUUGUACGUUUGCUUGCAUUCAUUAAACUUUGUCCCUCUGUCGAACUUUCACCCCUCGAACUCCCUCCUUUCAUUGGACAAAGUGCAGAAAAAAGAAAAGAAAGCUUUUCUGCCUCAAUUGUAAUGAGAUAGUUUACAACUAGACAUUUUUACUUUAUGGCAAUCCGCUUGUGUCGACCCUUUCUGCUAAAACUAAUCCAUAAUCUCCCAGCAAAAUUGCAUUAUUGGACUUGGUUGCUGUGUAACUGGCAACGAAUAUGACUUCAGUUCUGUUCAAAUUCUGUAAAGAUCUGCAAUGAAUAUUGUUUACCCAGCAGGUGGAUAUGACGUCACGGACAUGGAACAUCAGAAAAUAACAACAUCCAAAUCCGCGAUUCCGUUUUCUUUUAUAGCGCAUUAAAUUGUGAUAACAUUAGAAGGAGCUCGCUCUCUUAUUUGAGAUCGAAGGUGUUGUGAAACUCUAGAUUUUUCUCCGUGUAAUGGCACUCUCCUUGAAUGCAGCAGAGAUAUCUUCUCGUAGUUAAAGUUAGUCCCCCCCAAGCGGAGUAAUAUUGUUAGUAUUUACAGUGUGGUUGUUGCAUGCUUUCUUGGUACACAACAUCGCGUGUACAGUUCAUUAUCUCUAGCAGAGAAUUGUCUACUGCGGCCACCUACCAUUGUCGAUUCCGUGUCAUCUGUGAACUCCUGAUGAUCCCACCUCCAAAGAACCUAAGCUGAAUUCUCAUUGGAAGAAUGGAGCGCCAGUCUUUCCUACACGAGUGAACACGCCAAUAGACUCCAGUGGUGACCCCCUUUGGAUACAGAAAUCAAAGUAAGUGACUAGAGUAAGACCCCAUUGACACA